AUUGAACGCUGGCGGCAGGCUUAACACAUGCAAGUCGAGCGGAGAUGAGGUGCUUGCACCUUAUCUUAGCGGCGGACGGGUGAGUAAUGCUUAGGAAUCUGCCUAUUAGUGGGGGACAACAUUCCGAAAGGAAUGCUAAUACCGCAUACGUCCUACGGGAGAAAGCAGGGGAUCUUCGGACCUUGCACUAAAUGAUGAGCCUAAGUCGGAUUAGCUAGUUGGUGGGGUAAAGGCCUACCAAGGCGACGAUCUGUAGCGGGUCUGAGAGGAUGAUCCGCCACACUGGGACUGAGACACGGCCCAGACUCCUACGGGAGGCAGCAGUGGGGAAUAUUGGACAAUGGGCGGAAGCCUGAUCCAGCCAUGCCGCGUGUGUGAAGAAGGCCUUUUGGUUGUAAAGCACUUUAAGCGAGGAGGAGGCUACUAGUACUAAUACUACUGGAUAGUGGACGUUACUCGCAGAAUAAGCACCGGCUAACUCUGUGCCAGCCGCCGCAGUAAGAC
rnacentral:rRNA from 1 species